GAUUAUUAUGAUCUUUUCUAUCACGAAGGCUUCUAAAAACUUCUUGUUUGAGAUUUGUUUGAGCAUUUAGAAUCAUUCUUUUCUUUGAGUUAGCUUUUUUUUGAGGAGAUUUCUUCUCUGGAUAAUUUUUUCAUUUUUAGUACUUGAAAAAUUCUAUAUUUACUUAUGAACACAUAAUUAGUAACAUAAUCACUCAAAGUUUUGGAAUCAUCAAAAUCAAUCAUAAG
rnacentral:lncRNA from 1 species